AUGGCUGAGAUGGCGGCUGAUGGUGGGCAUGGUGGUGGGAAUCACCCAUUGCGUUGGACAUCUCCAAUGUCUGGGUUCAUGCUACGUCGAUUUGUAGAGCUCAUUGCUGGUGGAGUGAAGACGGACAAGGGCUUUAAGGAGGUGCAUCUAAACCAAGUGGCUAAGAAUUGUAGUGAGCACUUUGGUCUUUCCAUAACUGGGACCCAAGUGUACAACCACCUCCGCAAGUGGCGUGCUAGGUGGGUGAAGAUAAGUAAGCUCCGAGACAUUAGUGGGUCACUUUGGGAUGAUACCAACUAUGUCAUAUCGCUGGAGGAAGAGCACUACCUGGGUCAUAUCAAGGACCAUCCCAAAGAUGUUGAGUAUCUCAAUGUGCCUUUAGAGAAUUAUGUUCAGAUGCUUGCUAUUUUUGGGAGUGGUAUUGCUACAGGAAGGUAUGCGAUGACAUCUCAUCAGGCUCUUGGGGUUCCUUCAAUGGUAGAAACCUCCCCAUCAUUUGUAAAUCUCGAAGGUUGUGGUUCUGAAUUUGUUGAUGGGAAUGAACCUGGCUCAAGUGCUACUGGUGCUGCUCAUGGGGAAGAUGGUGGUGUUGCUGCUCAUGGGAAGGAACCAUGUAAGGAUGCGUCUAGCUCCAUUGGCAAAAGGAAGAGGGCUAGCCUGAUGAGUGAAGAAGAAGUUCUGGUCAUGAGCAACAUGUCCGAUGCAGUCUGUGAAGUUGCUAUUGCUAUCAAGUCCACCGGAGAGGCACAUCCUAAACUUUACAAUUCUGUCAUGGAGCUCCCUGGUUUAGCGAGGAUGAUCUAUUGA
rnacentral:rRNA from 1 species